rnacentral:rRNA from 1 species
GACGAACGCUGGCGGCGUGCCUAAUACAUGCAAGUUGAGCGAUGAAGAUUGGUGCUUGCACCAAUUUGAAGAGCAGCGAACGGGUGAGUAACGCGUGGGGAAUCUGCCUUUGAGCGGGGGACAACAUUUGGAAACGAAUGCUAAUACCGCAUAACAACUUUAAACAUAAGUUUUAAGUUUGAAAGAUGCAAUUGCAUCACUCAAAGAUGAUCCCGCGUUGUAUUAGCUAGUUGGUGAGGUAAAGGCUCACCAAGGCGAUGAUACAUAGCCGACCUGAGAGGGUGAUCGGCCACAUUGGGACUGAGACACGGCCCAAACGCCUACGGGAGGAAGCAGUAGGGAAUCUUCGGCAAUGGACGAAAGUCUGACCGAGCAACGCCGCGUGAGUGAAGAAGGUUUUCGGAUCGUAAAACUCUGUUGGUAGAGAAGAACGUUGGUGAGAGUGGAAAGCUCAUCAAGUGACGGUAACUACCCAGAAAGGGACGGCUAACUACGUG